CCUACGGGUGGCAGCAGUGGGGAAUAUUGCACAAUGGGGGAAACCCUGAUGCAGCGACGCCGCGUGAGUGAAGAAGUAUUUCGGGAUGUAAAGCUCUGUCAGCAGGGAAGAAAAUGACGGUACUUGACCAAGAAGCCGCGGCUAACUACGUGCAAGCAGCCGCGGUAAUACGUAGGGGGUAAGCGUUAUCCGGAUUUACUGGGUGUAAAGGGAGCGUAGGCGGCAGGGAAAGACUGGAGUGAAAGGCGGGGGCGCAACCCCCGGACUGCUCUGGAAACUGCCAGGCUGGAGUGCAGGAGAGGUAAGUGGAAUUCCGAGUGUAGCGGUGAAAUGCGUAGAUAUUAGGAGGAACACCAGUGGCGAAGGCGGCUUACUGGACUGUAACUGACGUUGAGGCUCGAAAGCGUGGGGAGCAAACAGGAUUAGAUACCCGUGUAGUC
rnacentral:rRNA from 1 species